UACGGGGGGGGCAAGCAUUAUUCGUCGUUAUUGGGCGUAAAGCGUCCGUAGACUGCAAUUUAAUCAUUAACAAAAAGACCGAAAGGCUUUCUGUGUAAGAACAUUACUCAUUUGUGGGGUUCGAUAAGCGGUUUGAUAAGUUAUUGCUAGAGUAUACCAGAGGUCAUCAUAACUCCAUAAGGAUUAGUAAAAUGAUGUGAUUUAUGGAAGAAUGCCGAUGGCGAAAGCAGAUGUCUAGGGUAUACUGACGUUGAGGGGCGAAGGCAAAGGGAGCAAACCGG
rnacentral:rRNA from 1 species